rnacentral:rRNA from 1 species
CCACCCUGGUGUUGUUGAGGUUCUAACCUUGGUCCAUUAUCUGGAUCGGGGACCGUGUAUGGUGGGCAGUUUGACUGGGGCGGUCUCCUCCCAAAAGGUAACGGAGGAGCACGAAGGUACGCUUGGCACGGUCGGAAAUCGUGCUGUAUGUGCAAGGGCAUAAGCGUGCUUGACUGUGAGGCCCACAAGCCGAACAGGUGCGAAAGCAGGUCAUAGUGAUCCGGUGGUUCUGUAUGGAAGGACCAUCGCUCAACGGAUAAAAGGUACGCCGGGGAUAACAGGCUGAU